rnacentral:tRNA from 2 species
GCGCCAUUAGCUCAAGCGGUAGAGCAGCUGGCUCUUAACCAGCGGGUUCGGGGUUCGAGUCCCUGGUGGCGCA